UUUGUUGUUUUCCAGUUUCUUUUUUUCUUCCCCCCCCCUUCCCCCUUGCACACAAAAUAAGUGAAGAAGAUGUGGCAAGGUGUGGCCGCGCCGUCGGGGCCGAGGAAUCUCUGGCACCGCAGGAGCAGCAGCCCACACCAGGAACGUGGAGCAGCCUCUGCUUCGGACAGGAGGACGUCCGUCCCAGGAGAAAGAGCAUCAGUUCUCAGUUGGGCCACCUUCCAUGCGAUGGAGCAACGUAGCUAAGCUGUAGGUUGCCUUAUGCUUGCAACACUGCAACCCCGAGGAAGUCUGCAUCUGCAGAGAUCUGCCUUCAUGCCUGGACUGAUAAGCGACGCUGGGGAAGCGUCUUGGCCAGGUAUUCUCAUACACGUGUGUGCAUGUCGCUGCGUGAGUGUGUUCAAAAUGUCCGUCAGCUCCAUCGGCUCAGCUGACUGGAGGCUCCUUCAGGCUCGGCAGCAGCUGGGGGAAGCGAGAGCAGGGCUGCAGAGCUUGGGGAAGGACUGAGUGCACCCUCAGAAGGGAGAUGCCUGUUCCUGGGAACGUGUGAUGACCUUAAGCCAGAGAUCCAAACCCCCUCGCCUGACCUUUGUUUAAUUCUUUCCCUUCCAGUGAGUCCCGCUCCCUGCCUGUGACUCAUCCUCGUCUAAAUGCAGCCUGCAAGCUCUCGGAGGACUGCCUUUCUCUCUGAGCAGAGCAACAUAAAAAAAAAAAACAGCAACGCUGUUGAAUAACCAGUAUUAUUUUUUAACACUUUUUUUUUUUUUUGAGGGCCGCCUUGCUGUAUUUGUGCUUCUCUGUCAAGGGGUUCAUUGGUUCCCCGAGAGAACAGUCGUGACCCACAGCAAGAAGGCUGUUCAGGCACGGGCUCAGGGGCAGCACAGCAGCAGUGCCGUGGGCAAUAGACCUUAAAAUAGAAGGUGGUGGGCUCUGACAAAGGCCAGAAAAUCUUAGCACCCACGUACUUCCUUCCCCAUUUCUGACCCGCUUGUACCUGGCAGCAUCCCUCUGGAAAAUGCGGUGGCCAUGAUGUGGACGUGCAGCUGUUCAGCAGGCUGCCCAGCUUCCUUCUCCCAGCCCGUGCCUACACUGUGCUGCCCAAUGGGCUGCUGUUCUCCACAGUGACCCUGACUGUCUGAUUACCUUCCAACCCUCACCUGAGCUCAGGUUCUGUCUGUAACUGCGAGCGGAUCUCUUACUGAGCCACAGUGGUUUCUCUUUCCAGAUGCUGCUGCAGUAUCCCGCCUCCUCAUCGCAUCGCCCUCUGGAAGACAGAAGUGACGAUCAGCAGCGUGGUGUUGUCCUGCAGGCAGCUGAAGAACCACUUUGACAGCAAGCAGGAGAACAACUAUGCAGUGUAAUCACAGCCUGUCUGUGCUCUUUCUAACAGUGUACAUGAGCACCCUAUUCCCAGCGAGGGGAUGCUGUAACCUCCCCCUGCUGACCUGUAUUCUUCUCCGUUACUGUAACCAAGCUGUUUCUUUCCCACAGCCACGCGUUCCUGCAGAUAUACCAAGGGUUCCCAUGCAGAUAGGUUUACAAAUUCAGGAAGGGCUUGGACAGAGCAAAAGGAGAAUGAAGUAAUUCCCAAAUAUUUGCACUGUGGCUGAUGAAAUUAGCAGGAGAGCUGAGUGGGUGUAUAGGGGUCUGCUGGGGGACGGAUGGAAGGAAACCUGGGGACAAACUGUCUCCUGUUCGACGUGCUCUGAGUGCUGUGUGAUAAAGGUGAAUCACCCAGCUUAGCUGCAGGUGAGCCAGCAGGACAGUGGCUGGGGCCGGGUCCCACUGCAGCCUGUGUGGGGGCUGUGUGCUGGGUCCGGUGGGCUUUGAAUCCCACCACAAAGACAGUGGCUGUCGACAAGGUCACGAACGCAGAGCUUCGCCUUCUGUUGAUUAUGUGGUUGUCAGUGGAAGAAUUACUGUGUAUCUAUGGGAAAUGUUAAAAAACAACAACGCCUUUUUUUCUUGAAUAAAUCUGUGAAACGAACCAACCUUUGUUUCUGUUCUGUUUCUUUGGGUUUCAUUCCCUUUGCGCUUAGCGACCCAUCGCUGUCCAACCCCCCCCC
rnacentral:lncRNA from 1 species